UGGGGAAUAUUGGACAAUGGGGGAAACCCUGAUCCAGCGACGCCGCGUGUGUGAAGAAGGCCUGCGGGUUGUAAAGCACUUUUAGUGGGGACAAAAAGCUACGGACUAAUACUCUGUGGUCUUGAUUUAACCCAAAGAAAAAGCACCGGCUAACUCUGUGCCAGCAGCCGCGGUAAUACAGAGGGUGCGAGCGUUAAUCGGAAUUACUGGGCGUAAAGCGCGCGUAGACGGUUUUGUAAGUCAGAUGUGAAAUCCCUGGGCUCAACCUGGGAACUGCAUUUGAGACUGCAUGGCUAGAGUAUGGAAGAGGGAAGUGGAAUUUCCGGUGUAGCGGUGAAAUGCGUAGAUAUCGGAAGGAACACCAGUGGCGAAAGCGACUUCCUGGUCCAAUACUGACGUUCAUGUGCGAAAGCGUGGGGAGCAAACAGGAUUAGAUACCCCCGUAGUCC
rnacentral:rRNA from 1 species